UCUUGACAAUUGUGUGUUUCUAACAGAAGUUGGAAGUCAGUUAGCUUUUUAAACAGCAAAUACUGCAUUUAUUUACUCUUUUUGCUGUGUGGAAACUUACCACUGCCAGCUUCAGCCACAGAACAUUCUAUAAGAAGCAGUUGUGGUUUCCAGUUGCGGGCAAGUGGAUCGUGUUUUCCAAGGACACUUCAGAAGCAUCUGAGUUGCCCUGUUUAAGAUGUGUCACUAUACGGACAAAUGGAAGGACAUUUGGAAGACAAUGAACACUGUGAGCCUCGGCAGAAGACCCUGCAGGCACGGCAUCCCCGAUGGGAACUGACAGUACCUCCCAGCCUCAAGCAAUAAAGACUGCCCUGAGCCAGCAAGAUGCGGAGUGACUGACCCCAAGACUAUGAUUGCCUACCUGCAGGUGCCCGCCCAUU